rnacentral:rRNA from 1 species
AAUCAACGCUGGCGGCGUGCCUCAGACAUGCAAGUCGAACGCGAAAGGCCCCUUCGGGGGCCGAGUAGAGUGGCGUCCGGGUGAGUAACACGUGGGUAAUCUACCUUCGGGUGGGGAAUAACGACCGGAAACGGUCGCUAAUACCGCAUAAUGCAGCGGCACCUAAUGGUGACAGUUGUUAAAGCGGGGGAGUCGCAAGACCUCGCGCCUGAAGAGGAGCCCGCGGCGGAUUAGCUAGUUGGCAGGGUAACGGCCUACCAAGGCGACGAUCCGUAGCCGGCCUGAGAGGGCGGGUCGGCCACACUGGCACUGACACACGGGCCAGACUCCUACGGGAGGCAGCAGUCGGGAAUUUUGGGCAAUGGGCGAAAGCCUGACCCAGCAACGCCGCGUGAAGGA